rnacentral:lncRNA from 1 species
AUGGCGGCGAGCAGCGGUAGCGCCGGUUCCACAGGCCCAGCGGGUCCGGUGUCGUUCGGCUUCAGCCGAAAAGCGGAGCGGAGGCGGCUGCUGGCGGCCGGGCCUUGCUCCGAACCGGAGAGCGACGGUGCGGACAUCGAUUACCUCAAGGCGGUAGAAGACCGCGAGUUAUUGAGUGCCAAGCCGGCCCCGCCCCCUCCGAAGGAACUCGUGAUCCCCCUUCGCCCCGCCCACCGCUGGAGGAACCCGGAAGCGCCAAGCUCCGCCCCCUCCUCGCCAGGCCACGCCCCAACCGCAACAAACCACGCCUCCUCGCCAGGCCCCGCCCCCUCUGCAACAAACCACGCCCCCGAUGCCGCAGGCCACGCCCCCGAGGGGGACCCCGUUACCUUGGAAACGGCGGCAGUGCAGGAGCUGCUGCGGGGUGAGGGCUUUUGGGGUGAAUUUGGGGCGAUUUGGGGGCAUUCUGGGGGACGGGGUUUGGGGAGGGGGUCUCAGCCCCGUCGUUUCCCCCACAGAGGCACGGCAGAGCCAGGAGCAGGGCCAGGAGACCCCCAGUGCAGCCCCCAUCCCCAUGAGGAUGAAGGAGGAGAACGUGGGCAGCGGCGCUCUGCCCGUGAGUUGGGGGUCUGGAACCCCCAGCGACCCCCCUAAGACCCCCUAUGACCCCCCUCAGCACUCCCAACCCUCCCCACAGGACCCCC